rnacentral:ncRNA from 2 species
UGAAUAUUGUGUUAGACAAGCUUUCAUUUAAAAAUGAAAUGGGAAGUUUGGUGAAAAUCCAACGCGGUCCCGCCACUGUAAUGGGGAGUCUUUUUAUUAAGUAUACCACUGGAUAAUAUCUGGGAAGGUGUAAAAAGAUGAUGAACCUAAGCCAGGAUACCUACUUGUUUAAUUUGACGUUU